CUGGAUGAGUGGCGAACGGGUGAGUAACACGUGAGUAACCUGCCCCCUUCUUCUGGAUAACCGCAUGAAAGUGUGGCUAAUACGGGAUAUUCUGGGUCUGUCGCAUGGUGGGCCUGGGAAAGGUUUUGUUUCGGUGGGGGAUGGGCUCGCGGCCUAUCAGCUUGUUGGUGGGGUGAUGGCCUACCAAGGCGGUGACGGGUAGCCGGCCUGAGAGGGUGGACGGUCACACUGGGACUGAGACACGGCCCAGACUCCUACGGGAGGCAGCAGUGGGGAAUAUUGCACAAUGGGCGCAAGCCUGAUGCAGCGACGCCGCGUGAGGGAUGGAGGCCUUCGGGUUGUGAACCUCUUUCGCCAGUGAAGCAGGCCUGCUCCUUGUGGGUGGGUUGACGGUAGCUGGAUAAGAAGCGCCGGCUAACUACGUGCCAGCAGCCGCGGUAAU
rnacentral:rRNA from 1 species